rnacentral:rRNA from 1 species
UGGCGAACGGGUGAGUAAUACAUCGGAACGUGUCCGCUCGUGGGGGACAACCAGCCGAAAGGUUGGCUAAUACCGCAUGAGUUCUACGGAAGAAAGAGGGGGACCCGCAAGGGCCUCUCGCGGGCGGAGCGGCCGAUGACUGAUUAGCCUGUUGGUGAGGUAACGGCUCACCAAAGCAACGAUCAGUAGCUGGUCUGAGAGGACGACCAGCCACACUGGGACUGAGACACGGCCCAGACUCCUACGGAAGGCAGCAG